CCUGACGAAGCAAGCGACGCCUGCCGCCGGAGCGACUGGGCCGACGAUCUCCGCGCUCCUCGCCCUCUCGCCGGCGACAUGACUCGCUCCUUUCCCAACAUGUACCGGCUCCGAGCCAGGGAAAGAUUAAGAUGGCAAUCAAGCGCGGUUUCUGCGACGAGGAUGAGGAGGAAGUGGCGCAGAUGUCAGGCCCAGUGGACUUAAAGGAGGUCACUCACGCAGACAAGAUCACAAAGGAAACUUUGGCUAAGGUUAUGGUGCAGAGGAAGGUGUCUGCCCUGACAGCUGCCCCGCGGACCGCGACAGCCCCCACCCCUGCCCUGGAGAACACCACAGGCCCGACCCCUACCUCGGAGACUGCCCCGACCCUCGCCCUGGCCUGAGCCAUCUACUAAAUCUGGCGAAAGGACUGCUGUACAAAUGGGCAAUUGGCACAAGGCAAAGAUUUCAGGAGAAUGUUUGCAUCAACAGGGUUUUUUCAGUUCCUCUUGUUUUCAGUUCCCUUCCUAAUGGUGAUCAGUCACAAACCUUAAAAUGUACUCCCUCCGUUCUAAAUUACUUGUCUUGGAUUUGUCUAGAUACGGAUGUAUCUAGCACUAAUUUUAGUGCUAGAUACAUCCGUAUCUAGACAAAUCUAAGACAAGUAAUUCGGAACGGAGGGAGUAGCUGAGUUUGUGCCUUGAAACUGGCUGAAGGGGACCAGCAAAUGGUAAGGGGAGAACCUUUCCCGUGGUAUGCGAACCAAGUCUUGUGGUCUACGAUGGAUGCUUUACCUUGUUCUGCAAUGGGGAAGCAUGUAUGUGUGUUCACUCUGAGGUGUUUGUCUUUGUCGUGGUGGCGGCGGAUGAUUUCGUUUCGUGUUCAUGUGAGAUGAUCGUAUGUUCGUCUGUUGUCCAGGAAAAUCCUGCAUCAUCA